GCGUAAUAGCUCACUGGUCGAGUCGGCCCGCGCGGAAGAUGUAACGGGGCUAAACCAUGCACCGAAGCUGCGGCAGCGAACGUAUCACUUAAAUUUGUUUAAGUGAGAAACGAUUGACGGAACGAAGAGACGUCAAUGCGUCCAUAAAAGUCGAGGCGAAAGUCCGAUAAGCGAAUUUAAGGAUACGUUCGUUGGGUAGGGGAGCGUUCUGUAAGCCUGCGAAGGUGUGCUGUGAGGCAUGCUGGAGGUAUCAGAAGUGCGAAUGCUGACAUAAGUAACGAUAAUGCGGGUGAAAAACCCGCACGCCGGAAGACCAAGGGUUCCUGUCCAACGUUAAUCGGGGCAGGGUGAGUCGACCCCUAAGGCGAGGCUGAAAAGCGUAGUCGAUGGGAAACGGGUUAAUAUUCCCGUACUGGUGGUAACUGCGAUGGGGGAACGGAGAAGGCUAGGUUGUCCGGGCGACGGUCGUCCCGGUUCAAGCAUGUAGGCAGAGUGAUUAGGCAAAUCCGGUCACUUAAUGCUGAGGUGUGAUGACGAGCCACUAAGGUGGUGAAGCAAUUGAUGCCCUGCUUCCAGGAAAAGCCUCUAAGCUUCAGGUUACCAACAAUCGUACCCCAAACCGACACAGGUGGUCAGGUAGAGAAUACUCAGGCGCUUGAGAGAACUCGGGUGAAGGAACUAGGCAAAAUGGUGCCGUAACUUCGGGAGAAGGCACGCUGGCGGUAAGUGAAGUCCCUUGCGGACGGAGCCGAAGCCAGUCGAAGAUACCAGCUGGCUGCAACUGUUUAUUAAAAACACAGCACUGUGCAAACACGAAAGUGGACGUAUACGGUGUGACGCCUGCCCGGUGCUGGAAGGUUAAUUGAUGGGGUUAUCCUUAGGGAGAAGCUCUUGAUCGAAGCCCCAGUAAACGGCGGCCGUAACUAUAACGGUCCUAAGGUAGCGAAAUUCCUUGUCGGGUAAGUUCCGACCUGCACGAAUGGCGUAAUGAUGGCCAGGCUGUCUCCACCCGAGACUCAGUGAAAUUGAACUCGCUGUGAAGAUGCAGUGUACCCGCGGCAAGACGGAAAGACCCCGUGAACCUUUACUAUAGCUUGACACUGAACAUUGAGCCUUGAUGUGUAGGAUAGGUGGGAGACUAUGAAGUGUGGACGCCAGUCUGCAUGGAGUCAACCUUGAAAUACCACCCUUUAACGUUUGAUGUUCUAACCUAGGCCCGUAAUCCGGGUCGGGGACCGUGUCUGGUGGGUAGUUUGACUGGGGCGGUCUCCUCCUAAAGAGUAACGGAGGAGCACGAAGGUUGGCUAAGCAUGGUCGGACAUCAUGCGGUUAGUGCAAAGGCAUAAGCCAGCUUGACUGUGAGAGUGACGGCUCGAGCAGGUACGAAAGUAGGUCUUAGUGAUCCGGUGGUUCUGAAUGGAAGGGCCAUCGCUCAACGGAUAAAAGGUACUCCGGGGAUAACAGGCUGAUACCGCCCAAGAGUUCAUAUCGACGGCGGUGUUUGGCACCUCGAUGUCGGCUCAUCACAUCCUGGGGCUGAAGUAGGUCCCAAGGGUAUGGCUGUUCGCCAUUUAAAGUGGUACGCGAGCUGGGUUUAGAACGUCGUGAGACAGUUCGGUCCCUAUCUGCCGUGGGCGUUGGAAGAUUGAGAGGGGUUGCUCCUAGUACGAGAGGACCGGAGUGAACGCACCACUGGUGUUCGGGUUGUCAUGCCAAUGGCAUUGCCCGGUAGCUAAGUGCGGAAGAGAUAACCGCUGAAAGCAUCUAAGCGGGAAACUUGCCUCGAGAUGAGUCUUCCCUGUCACCUUGAGUGACCUAAAGGAACGUUUAAGACUAAGACGUUGAUAGGCUGGGUGUGUAAGCGUAGCGAUACGUUGAGCUAACCAGUACUAAUGAACCGUGAGGCUUAACCUGACAACACCGAAGGUGUUU
rnacentral:rRNA from 1 species